rnacentral:rRNA from 1 species
UACGUAGGGUGCGAGCGGUGUCCGGAAUUAUUGGGCGUAAAGAGCUCGUAGGCGGUGUGUCACGUCGGCCGUGAAAACCUGCAGCUUAACUGUGGGCGUGCGGUCGAUACGGGCAUCACUGGAGUUCGGCAGGGGAGACUGGAAUUCCUGGUGUAGCGGUGAAAUGCGCAGAUAUCAGGAGGAACACCGGUGGCGAAGGCAGCUCGCUGGAACGGUACUGACGCUGUGGCGCGAAAGCGUGGGGAGCGAACAGG